GAGCGAACACUGGGAGUUGACCUGUUGAUUAGCGGCGGACGCGUGAGUAACUUGUGGGCAACCUGCCUGUAAGACUGGGAUAACACCGGGAAACCGGUGCUAAUACCGGAUAAUUCUUAUCGACACAUGUUGGUAAGCUAAAAGUCGGUGUAAGCUGACACUUACAGAUGGGCCCGCGGCGCAUUAGCUAGUUGGUGAGGUAACGGCUCACCAAGGCGACGAUGCGUAGCCGACCUGAGAGGGUGAUCGGCCACACUGGGACUGAGACACGGCCCAGACUCCUACGGGAGGCAGCAGUAGGGAAUCUUCCACAAUGGACGAAAGUCUGAUGGAGCAACGCCGCGUGAGCGAAGAAGGCCUUCGGGUCGUAAAGCUCUGUUGUCAGGGAAGAACAAGUAUCGGAGUAACUGCCGGUACCUUGACGGUACCUGACCAGAAAGCCACGGCUAACUACGUGCCAGCAGCCGCGGUAAU
rnacentral:rRNA from 1 species